rnacentral:rRNA from 1 species
ACUCAAUAGAUACCCCGGUAGUCCACGCCCUAAACGAUGUCUACUAGUUGUUGGUGGAGUAAAAUCCAUGAGUAAACGCAGCUAAACGCGUGAAGUAGACCGCCUGGGGAGUACGGUCGCAAGAUUAAGACUCAAAGGAAUUGACGGGGGCCCGCACAAGCGGUGGAUUAUGCGGAUUAAUUCGAUGCAACGCGAAAAACCUUACCUGGCCUUGACAUGCCACUAACGAAGCAGAGAUGCAUUAGGUGCCCGUAAGGGAAAGUGGACACAGGUGCUGCAUGGCUGUCGUCAGCUCGUGUCGUGAGAUGUUGGGUUAAGUCCCGCAACGAGCGCAACCCUUGCCAUUAAUUGCCAUCAUUUAGUUGGGCACUUUAAUGGGACUGCCGGUGACAAACCGGAGGAAGGUGGGGAUGACGUCAAGUCCUCAUGGCCCUUAUGGCCAGGGCUUCACACGUAAUACAAUGGUCGGUACAGAGAGUUGCCAACCCGCGAGGGGAGCUAAUCUCAGAAAGCCGAUCGUAGUCCGGAUUGUUCUCU